rnacentral:rRNA from 1 species
CCGGAUAGUACUCCUCAUCGCAUGGUGGGGGGUGGAAAGCCUUGUGCGGUCUUGGAUGGGCUCGCGGCCUAUCAGCUUGUUGGUGGGGUGAUGGCCUACCAAGGCGACGACGGGUAGCCGGCCUGAGAGGGUGACCGGCCACACUGGGACUGAGACACGGCCCAGACUCCUACGGGAGGCAGCAGUGGGGAAUAUUGCACAAUGGGCGGAAGCCUGAUGCAGCGACGCCGCGUGGGGGAUGACGGCCUUCGGGUUGUAAACCCCUUUCAGUAGGGAAGAAGCGCAAGUGACGGUACCUGCAGAAGAAGCGCCGGCUAACUACGUGCCAGCAGCCGCGGUAAUACGUAGGGCGCGAGCGUUAUCCGGAAUUAUUGGGCGUAAAGAGCUCGUAGGCGGCUUGUCGCGUCUGCUGUGAAAGCCCGGGGCUCAACCCCGGGUCUGCAGUGGGUACGGGCAGGCUGGAGUGCAGUAGGGGAGACUGGAAUUCCUGGUGUAGCGGUGAAAUGCGCAGAUAUCAGGAGGAACACCGAUGGCGAAGGCAGGUCUCUGGGCUGUAACUGACGCUGAGGAGCGAAAGCAUGGGGAGCGAACAGGAUUAGAUACCCUGGUAGUCCAUGCCGUAAACGUUGGGCACUAGGUGUGGGGGCCAUUCCACGGUUUCCGCGCCGCAGCUAACGCAUUAAGUGCCCCGCCUGGGGAGUACGGCCGCAAGGCUAAAACUCAAAGGAAUUGACGGGGGCCCGCACAAGCGGCGGAGCAUGCGGAUUAAUUCGAUGCAACGCGAAGAACCUUACCAAGGCUUGACAUGUGCCGGACCGUCCCAGAGAUGGGGCUUCCCUUCGGGGCCGGUUCACAGGUGGUGCAUGGUUGUCGUCAGCUCGUGUCGUGAGAUGUUGGGUUAAGUCCCGCAACGAGCGCAACCCUCGUUCCAUGUUGCCAGCACUUCGGGUGGGGACUCAUGGGAGACUGCCGGGGUCAACUCGGAGGAAGGUGGGGACGACGUCAAAUCAUCAUGCCCCUUAUGUCUUGGGCUUCACGCAUGCUACAAUGGCCGGUACAAAGGGUUGCGAUACUGUGAGGUGGAGCCAAUCCCAGAAAGCCGGUCUCAGUUCGGAUUGGGGUCUGCAACUCGACCCCAUGAAGUCGGAGUCGCUAGUAAUCGCAGAUCAGCAACGCU